UAUUCAUGACUAUGUAUGGUAGCUCCUGGAUUAUUUCUUAUCAAAGUUAAAAAUCUUACACCUAUGACGUGCUGUUAUAGAUUGUGUGAAAAGUGUGCCUUACCCAUAAUUAAUACCAACUGGCAGAGAAAAAUCUGAAAUUUGAUAUUCAACCCAGUUAAAGAGAAGACAGUGGCCUUUGACCAUGGUAAUCAGACCCCCCCACCCCCCACCCCAGCAGGGUGGCUUCAUUCUGAACUCAAGCCUGGCCUUCAGCACACAAUCCUGGCCGCUGCUUUUUCUCUGUUACUCCUCCAUGGAAACAGUCAGUGAAGCACAGUUAUGUGUGGAAAAGUGCUUGUCCCACAGGCUGCAUGUUCACCACAACAGCAAAGUACAUUCAGUGGAAGAGCAAAACCUCUACGCGUGUCUGUGUAGACAGGAGUGACUUCAAUCAAAGGGAGCGGGAUUAUAAGGGAGAAAACCGAGAGGAUCAAAGUCUCCUUUGCUGGCAGCCAGAGAAUUUGGGUCACCGCUUUUAGAGGAAACGGCAUUGCUACUGCAGGUGGAGUUGACCCCAAUAUUGACUUUUCUAUUCUGCACUUUAACAUGGGAAAGCAUCUUGCUCUGUCGAUGGGCCAACAGUGACGUAUGUAGUUUCUAUGUCAACAGCCACAGUGUGUGUACAGACAAGGGAAUGGGGAGCCAAUUCCCACUAUACAGAAGAGGAAGAUCUAAAAGGGAAGAUCGGUAAGACAGAGAAUGACUACCACGGAGCAAAGGCCUACACAACCCUGACUUUGGUCUACUGUAUCUUAUGUCAACCACUGUAUUGCGUCUCUUCCAAGAGCAACUUUUAUCUGUGCACUAAGCUACCUUUUGCUGUGGUUCUUUCAAUCUCAAGAGCUUAAGUAACUUUAAUUAGACCCACCACAACCCUGAAAAUGAAUCCACCCCCAUUUUAUAGAUGAGGAAAUUGAGGCUGCAAGGAGAAAUGGGAUUUAACUUAAUAACUUAAAAAGUGGAGCUAACGCUAAAGCUGUAUUCUUCUCAUAUUCAAAUUGCUACUCCUCCUGCUGAAUCUCAUAAAGUCCAAAAUGUUUUAAAAUUUUAAAGUUAAAAUAUUCUACACUUUACCACUUCAAAGACACAACUCAACAUGAUCUUGUCUCAAUGAUAGUACAAACCCAGGGGAAAAACACCCAGCAGAUAACAACUAAUGUGACUAAAUUAUGAAAAAAAAAAUUAAACACUAGAGUACACAGAGGAACCAAAUAAAUCUGCCCUGUUUUAUACCACAAGAGGAGAUCUCAUAGAUGAUCCUUAGGAAAUUUUAUGAAAUAUGCCAGAUCCCUGAAAUAUUCUUUCCAUUGGAAUUUAAACAAUAAACAUUGAAGAUAAUCCCCUCUUAGAAAAAGGCCCUGCCAAGGAUUCAGUAUGACAGUCCGUUUAUAUGAAGGCCCAACACUGACCUCCUGCAUCCACUCUAAACUGAGUAAUAU